rnacentral:rRNA from 1 species
GACGUAGGGCGCAAGCGUUGUCCGGAUUUAUUGGGCGUAAAGAGCUCGUAGGCGGCUUGUUGCGUCGUCCGUGAAAACCCGUGGCUCAACUGCGGGCUUGCGGACGAUACGGGCAGGCUGGAGUUCGGUAGGGGAGACUGGAAUUCCUGGUGUAGCGGUGAAAUGCGCAGAUAUCAGGAGGAACACCGGUGGCGAAGGCGGGUCUCUGGGCCGAUACUGACGCUGAGGAGCGAAAGCAUGGGGAGCGAACAGG